rnacentral:rRNA from 1 species
UACGUAGGCAGCGAGCGUUGUUCGGAGUUACUGGGCGUAAAGGGUGUGUAGGCGGUUUUCUAAGUUUGGUGUGAAAUCUCCCGCUCAACCGGGAGGGUGCGCCGAAAACUGGGAGACUAGAGUGCGGGAUGGGAGAGUAGAAUUCCUGGUGUAGCGGUGAAAUGCGUAGAUAUCAGGAGGAAUACCGGUGGUGUAGACGGCUCUCUGGACCGCCACUGACGCUGAGACACGAAAGCGUGGGUAGCAAACGGG